UAACAUUUCUAGCUUGCUAGAAGAUGACGAGUGGCGGACGGGUGAGUAAUGCUUGGGAACUUGCCUUUGCGAGGGGGAUAACAGUUGGAAACGACUGCUAAUACCGCAUAAUGUCUUCGGACCAAACGGGGCUUAGGCUCCGGCGCAAAGAGAGGCCCAAGUGAGAUUAGCUAGUUGGUAAGGUAACGGCUUACCAAGGCGACGAUCUCUAGCUGUUCUGAGAGGAAGAUCAGCCACACUGGGACUGAGACACGGCCCAGACUCCUACGGGAGGCAGCAGUGGGGAAUAUUGCACAAUGGGGGAAACCCUGAUGCAGCCAUGCCGCGUGUGUGAAGAAGGCCUUCGGGUUGUAAAGCACUUUCAGUUGUGAGGAAAAGUUAGUAGUUACUACCUGCUAGCCGUGACGUUAACAACAGAAGAAGCACCGGCUAACUCCGUGCCAGCAGCCGCGGUAAUACGGAGGGUGCGAGCGUUAAUCGGAAUUACUGGGCGUAAAGCGCACGCAGGCGGUUUGUUAAGCUAGAUGUGAAAGCCCCGGGCUCAACCUGGGAUGGUCAUUUAGAACUGGCAGACUAGAGUCUUGGAGAGGGGAGUGGAAUUCCAGGUGUAGCGGUGAAAUGCGUAGAUAUCUGGAGGAACAUCAGUGGCGAAGGCGACUCCCUGGCCAAAGACUGACGCUCAUGUGCGAAAGUGUGGGUAGCGAACAGGAUUAGAUACCCUGGUAGUCCACACCGUAAACGCUGUCUACUAGCUGUGUGUGCCUUUAAGGCGUGCGUACGAAGCUAACGCGCUAAGUAGACCGCCUGGGAGUACGGCCGCAAGGUUAAAACUCAAAUGAAUUGACGGGGCCCGCACAAGCGGUGGAGCAUGUGGUUUAAUUCGAUGCAACGCGAAGAACCUUACCUACACUUGACAUGCAGAGAACUUUCUAGAGAUAGAUUG
rnacentral:rRNA from 1 species